CGGAUCGGAGUCUGNAACCCGACUCCGUGAAGCUGGAUUCGCUAGUAAUCGCGCAUCAGCCAUGGCGCGGUGAAUACGUUCCCGGGCCUUGUACACACCGCCCGUCAAGCCAUGGAAGCCGGGGGCGCUUGAAGUGCGUUGCCGCAAGGCGCGCCCUAGAGCGAAACCGGUGACUGGGGCUAAGUCGUAACAAGGUAUC
rnacentral:rRNA from 1 species